ensembl:lncRNA
CGGCACUCAUGUGCGCAUGCCCCACACACACACACACAAAUAUUUUAAAGGCAACUGAGCAGGUGACAGGAGCAGAGGUGGAACGGAAGCAGAAGGCUGGGGGGGCAGUUCUCAGUCUCCAGGCUCUUCAUGCAGCCAGCAGGGAAGACCUAGGCUAGACUUAACCAGGUAACACCUCUUACCUCUGUAAAGACAGGGCACCUGUCUGGCUGCCCACCUCAGGACAGUGAACAGGAGGGGAGAUGGUCUUACCCGGCCUGGUACAGCUCAUUGGUACCCAAGUUGAGGGAGAGGAACUGUUUGUCCCUUCCCAGAAUCUCUUGUGUCUACACAGUAUCCUUGAGCUAAGUAUGCAGUGGCUUGAGGUGACAUUGUGAGGUCAUGGAAGGGCAAGAGGAUGAUGGGAACCAUCUUAGAAGGGGCUGGGAGAUGUGUGGUGUGCACAGAACACUAGCUACUCAUGGAUCACACUGUUUUACUGGCUUAACCAAUCCUCGUGUAUGAGUGAGGAAACUGGAGUUCAGAGGUUAGAAACCUUGACCCACGUGACGCAUCUGGGCUGUUAGAUACUUUCUGUUAUAUAACAAAUUACCCCCCAAAACACUACCUCAAGAUGUUUUGGAGUUAGGAGCCCAAAAGUGACCCAGACCUUUGGUUAGGCUCAGGUUUCUCAAGAUGCAGCUGCAACUUAGUGUGUAGCCUGUGUCUUUAAAUCCAAAACUUGCAGAGGCAGGAGGAUCCCAGUUCAAGGCUAGUCUCAGAUACACAGCAAGCUUAAGGCUGUGGUGUGCUAAAUAAGACUUUGUCCCCCAAUCCAAAAAAAAAAAAAAAAAAAGACCCAGCCAGUCAUCGUUGAGAGAUCUAAAAGAUUGUGUCGAGUUGCUACAGAGGUGCGCUGCAGACCUCAGCUCCUCCCACGUGAGUGACCCCACGGAGCUGUCUGCCUGCCAGACUCGGGCACUCCAGGUGGCCGGCCGGGGGACCCUGAAAGGAAGGAAAGGAUUCAGUGGUCCCGUAGGUAGUGCUUGGUGCUACAGGCGGCUGACUGGAGCUUACAAAUGGACUCUGGCUGUGUUUGCUCCUUUAGCUAAGUCCAAGGGUUUCACGCGUUCCACAGCUUCCGUGCCUUGGACCACGAAGGACAUUGUGAUUGGCCUUUGCAAAAAAAGCCCUCCAGCAGUGGGCGUGACCGCCGCGGCACCGUGCUGCACCCACCGAUUGGGUUGAGACACUUCCAGCUUGCUGGUGCCUGCCUGGGUGGUUAAUGUCGCCAGCCACACCCGACUCCAAACUAAGAGUAAUCUCUGCCACAAAUGACCUGGACCCCUCCUCACGAAUUAUCAGUGGGUCUUACGAACACAAUCUUGUCUGACAUUGGAGGUAAAAGGACCGGGUUGAGUCGUUUGGCGCGCGGGACUCAAACUGGAGUCCAACUGAAGCUCGCAGGCUGCUGCCCAGCGCCGGCCGCCAGAUGGCACCCAUGCUCUCUGUAGUACCCAAGCGUUCGUCUCCCGUACACACUUGGCUGCCUCCGCCAGGUGUCUCAGGAGCGCUUGUUCUGCUCCCCGACCUGUUCUGCACCUACCACUACUGUGACUCAGCUGACCUCAGGGAGUGGCUGUCCCCCAAUCCACACCCACACCACAGGCAUGUCUGAUGCAGUACCACAAUCAAUUAAGGCUGGGGCGGCAUCUGUGCCCCAGAAGCCCCAGGCUGGAGUAACUGGCACACCUUUCUGUAAAUAGGCUGCCAGCUCCGAGCCAUCCACAGGGCAAGAGUGAUUGCAGUAGGAGACUAAUGCCAUGGGAGAGUAUGUCUGGAAAGUAAAAGUUCUGGAGGUAAUGGUGAGGUGAGUGCAUACAGCUACAGAACUUUUCACUUAAGAGUGGUUAAAGUGUGGCUGGAGAUGACUCAAUGGUUAGGAGUGCUGUCUGCUCUUUCAGAGGACCCUGGUUCAAUUCCCAACACCCCGAUGGCAGCUAAUAGCCAUCUGUAACUUCAGUCCCCCAGGGAAUCCAAUGCCUCCCCAGGCACUGCACAGUACCUAUGUGGUGCUCAGACAUGAACACACAAAAUAAAAUUAAACCGUAAGAGAAUGGUGGUGAAGUAGGCUCAAGAACCGGCUUAGAGGUUAAGAGCACCGGAGUUCGGUUCUCGGCAUCUACAUAAGCAGCUCACAAUCACCUGCAACUACAGCUCCCAGGGAAUCCCAGGCUUCCAGCCUCCAGAGGCCGAUGCAC